UGAGGCAGGAGAAUUGCUUGAACCCAGGAAGUGGAGGCUGCAGUGAGCCGAGAUCGUGCCACUGUACUCCAGCCUGGGUGACAGAGUGAGACU
ensembl:miRNA